rnacentral:rRNA from 1 species
UGGGGAAUAUUGCACAAUGGGCGCAAGCCUGAUGCAGCAACGCCGCGUGAGGGACGACGGCCUUCGGGUUGUAAACCUCUUUUAGCAGGGAAGCGGUACCUGCAGAAAAAGCACCGGCUAACUACGUGCCAGCAGCCGCGGUAAUACGUAGGGUGCAAGCGUUGUCCGGAAUUAUUGGGCGUAAAGAGCUCGUAGGCGGUUUGUCGCGUCUGCUGUGAAAACCCGAGGCUCAACCUCGGGCCUGCAGUGGGUACGGGCAGACUAGAGUGCGGUAGGGGAGAUUGGAAUUCCUGGUGUAGCGGUGGAAUGCGCAGAUAUCAGGAGGAACACCAAUGGCGAAGGCAGAUCUCUGGGCCGUAACUGACGCUGAGGAGCGAAAGGU